rnacentral:rRNA from 1 species
UACGGGGGGGGGCAAGCGUUGUUCGGAAUUACUGGGCGUAAAGGGCUCGUAGGCGGCCAACUAAGUCAGACGUGAAAUCCCUCGGCUUAACCGGGGAACUGCAUCUGAUACUGGAUGGCUUGAGUUCGGGAGAGGGAUGCGGAAUUCCAGGUGUAGCGGUGAAAUGCGUAGAUAUCUGGAGGAACACCGGUGGCGAAGGCGGCAUCCUGGACCGGCACUGACGCUGAGG